GACAGAGGUGCCAAGCGUUAGGCGGAAUCACUGGGCUUAAAGCGUGUGUAGGCGGAUGCCUAAGUACCUUGUGAAAUCCCACGGCUCAACCGUGGAACUGCUUGGUAUACUGGGUGUCUUGAGCCAUCUAGGGGCUACCGGAACAAAUGGUGGAGCGGUGAAAUGCGUAGAUAUCAUUUGGAACGCCAAUGGUGAAAACAGGUAGCUGGGGAUGUGCUGACGCUGAGACACGAAAGCGAGGGGAGCAAACGGG
rnacentral:rRNA from 1 species